GUUUUUAAACUAUUUCUAGGUUUGUGAAUGUGAAGCCCCAGGCCGCAGGGGGCAAGGGGCCAGGUGCCCCCCACCAGCUGAGAACAAAGUGUCUAUGUGGGUGUGGCCCCUGGCCCGCCUCCCUCCAGCCCUGGAGAGGAGGGCAGGGCUGCGGGUAGGCCAGGCCGAGCCCCUGGAACAUCCCGUCCUGUAUCAUAUGUAAAUACUGUGAGGUGAAGCCCCCCACCCCUCUCUAAGACCCCUUGGGGUGAGGGCAUUGCCUGGGCCCCACAGGGCAAAGGUCUCCCCCACCCCUCCUCUGUCCCCUCGAUGACACCGUUACUGUAAGCUUGCAGGCCUCGGCCUGGCCGCAGCAGGCCCACUCUCUCAGGCCCUCAGGGUCAAGGCCUUGGGCCUGCUCACCCCGAAAACCCAGUGUGGGGGCGAGGGAAGAGAAGGGCUUGCCCAGAGCCACUGCUGGAAAGGAAUUAGCUCUCCAAAGGUCUCCCCUGUCCCCUGCCUAGGUUGGACCUUUACUUCUGCUCUGAGCCCCCACUCCACUGAGUGGAAACCCGGGGCACUUGGGUAAGGAACAGACGCCAGGGGAAAGCAAAGGGCUUCUCAGGGAACCCCCAAUUCUCUCACUGAAGUUUCCCACCAGGAUGGUCCUGUGGCCAGAGGCCCUUGGCAGCCCCUUACCCCAGAGCCCCCUUCAAAGGCAAAAGAGGCUCAGGGUAUGAUUAUGAAGGGAGACCUAGCUGGCGUGGCAGGGCUGAUGCCCACCCACUGUCCCCCUUCUAUGUCCCUCUCCCCCAGGCCUGAGGCUGGGGGCCUAAGCUCCCUGCCCCAUCAGAGCCCCCACCCCAUCCAUCCAGCCUUUGGAGAGUUAAUUGCCCGUGUGAGGUGCUUAACCUAUUAGCCCUGAGAACACAAAGCAAUAAUCUUUGUUACUGAGAUGCGCGGCU
rnacentral:lncRNA from 1 species